rnacentral:rRNA from 1 species
GUGGGGAAUAUUGCACAAUGGGCGCAAGCCUGAUGCAGCGACGCCGCGUGAGGGAUGGAGGCCUUCGGGUUGUAAACCUCUUUUAUCGGGGAGCAAGCGAGAGUGAGUUUACCCGUUGAAUAAGCACCGGCUAACUACGUGCCAGCAGCCGCGGUAAUACGUAGGGUGCAAGCGUUAUCCGGAAUUAUUGGGCGUAAAGGGCUCGUAGGCGGUUCGUCGCGUCCGGUGUGAAAGUCCAUCGCUUAACGGUGGAUCCGCGCCGGGUACGGGCGGGCUUGAGUGCGGUAGGGGAGACUGGAAUUCCCGGUGUAACGGUGGAAUGUGUAGAUAUCGGGAAGAACACCAAUGGCGAAGGCAGGUCUCUGGGCCGUUACUGACGCUGAGGAGCGAAAGCGUGGGGAGCGAACAGGAUUAGAUACCCUGGUAGUCC